rnacentral:rRNA from 1 species
AUACGUAGGUGGCGAGCGUUGUCCGGAAUUACUGGGCGUAAAGGAUGCGUAGGUGGAUAUUUAAGUGGGAUGUGAAAUCCCCGGGCUCAACCCGGGAACUGCAUUCCAAACUGGAUAUCUAGAGUGCAGGAGAGGAAAGCGGAAUUCCUAGUGUAGCGGUGAAAUGCGUAGAUAUUAGGAGGAACACCAGUGGCGAAGGCGGCUUUCUGGACUGUAACGGACACUGAGGCAUGAAAGCGUGGGUAGCAAACAGGAUUAGAUACCCUGGUAGUCCACGCCGUAAACGAUGGGUACUAGGUGUAGGAGGUAUCGACCCCUUCUGUGCCGUCGUUAACACAAUAAGUACCCCGCCUGGGGAGUACGGUCGCAAGACUAAAACUCAAAGGAAUUGACGGGG